GAUGAACGCUAGCUACAGGCUUAACACAUGCAAGUCGCGGGGCAGCAUGGGGGUUGCUUGCAACUCCCGAUGGCGACCGGCGCACGGGUGAGUAACGCGUAUCCAACCUGCCCUUCACCACGGGAUAACCCGGCGAAAGUCGGACUAAUACCGUAUGUUGUCCAUUGACGGCAUCCGAUUUGGACGAAAGGCUUUGCGGUGAAGGAUGGGGAUGCGUCCGAUUAGCCAGACGGCGGGGUAACGGCCCACCGUGGCUACGAUCGGUAGGGGUUCUGAGAGGAAGUUCCCCCACACUGGAACUGAGACACGGUCCAGACUCCUACGGGAGGCAGCAGUGAGGAAUAUUGGUCAAUGGGCGUAAGCCUGAACCAGCCAAGUAGCGUGCAGGAUGACGGCCCUAUGGGUUGUAAACUGCUUUUAUGCGGGGAUAAAGUGGCCCACGUGUGGGCUUUUGCAGGUACCGCAUGAAUAAGGACCGGCUAAUUCCGUG
rnacentral:rRNA from 1 species